rfam:Nicotiana sylvestris Nsyl_contig117438, whole genome shotgun sequence.
AUCGCGGCGGUCUCUCAUUCGCUUGGUGCAGGUCGGGACCUGCCUCGCCGGCGACAAUGACGUCAGCUGACGGUGACGGUGGCGUAUCGAUAGAUAUACAUGUUGUUUAUGACGAAAUUUUGGUCCCGCCUUGCAUCAACUGAAUCGGAGACUGCGGUGAAU